AUACGUAGGGGGCGAGCGUUGUCCGGAAUGAUUGGGCGUAAAGGGCGCGUAGGCGGCCCGGUAAGUCUGGAGUGAAAGUCCUGUUUUUAAGAUGGGAAUUGCUUUGGAUACUGUCGGGCUAGAGUGCAGGAGAGGUAAGUGGAAUUCCCAGUGUAGCGGUGAAAUGCGUAGAGAUUGGGAGGAACACCAGUGGCGAAGGCGACUUACUGGACUGUAACUGACGCUGAGGCGCGAAAGUGUGGGGAGCAAACAGGAUUAGAUACCCUGGUAGUCCACACUGUAAACGAUGAAUGCUAGGUGUAGGGGGUAUCGACCCCUUCUGUGCCGCAGUCAACACAAUAAGCAUUCCGCCUGGGGAGUACGGCCGCAAGGUUGAAACUUAAAGGAAUUGACGGGG
rnacentral:rRNA from 1 species